rnacentral:lncRNA from 1 species
GUCCUUCAUGUCAAAGGUCUGGAAAGUUGAUUUACAAUGUUCCAUCAAGUUCUGUGAGAAGUUUCUUAAAACCUUUGGAUAUCUUCUGUGGAUUUUUCGUGAUGCGUUCCAUCAGACUGAAGCCACAUCUAAAAGGACACAUCUGUCCUUUUAGCGACAAUCACUUCUCUGAGUUGGCCCUGCUGGGAUGACUGAGAGGAUUGGCGAGCCGCACGUUUCAUCUCUUGAGAAGGCUCUUUGCAUGACUGAAUUCUCUAACUACUUGAUGUGGAGUGUGGCAUUUCUUCCUAGAGGAUGGGAAACCAGCUCGGCCAGCUCUCAUUGCCCUGACUAGUCCUUUCACAUUUCCAGAAUAUGUCGAAAUCAGAGAUGUGGUUUUGGAUGUUUGGGAAGCAAAGAAGCAUAAAAUGGAGCAGAAGGUAAAGCCAGCUUUUGCCUGAAGAUGGAGUUCAGUCUUUUUACAUGUUGUAGCAGGUAAGAGAUUGCUCCUAUAAAAUCGUGUGCUUUAAAAGAAAAUCAUCACUGCCAUCACUCAUGUGCAAGCCACUAUCCUUUUUCACAUUGAGUUUCCAUUAUUCUCUGCUGUUGUCCAAUGCAUUCUUGAUACUUCAGUAAGAGUGAUAUUUUACUUUAUAAUAUACGUUUGAAAAGUAUCACUGGGGGUGUGGGAUGGAAAUCCUAUAAAACUGGAUUGUGAUUGUCAUUGUACAACUAUAAAUAUAAUAAAUUCAUUGAGUAAUAAAAAAAGUAUCAGAAGGAGGAGUUCCCAUUGUAGCUCAGCAGGUUUAAAGACCAGACGUUGUCUCUGUGAGAAUGUGGGUUCGAUCCCUGACCUUGCUCAGUGGGUUAAGGAUCUGGCAUAGCCUGCAGAUUUGGCUUGGAUCUGGUGUUGGUGUGUCUGUGGCAUAGGCCCCAGUUGCAGCUCUGAUUUGACCCCUGGCCCUGGGACUUCCGUAUGCUGCAGGUGCAGCCUUAAAAAGAAAAAAAAAUUAUCAGAAGGAUACAUGCAUGUAGUUCAAAAUAAACAGUCGUGAUAUAUUUAAUAAAGUAGGAGCCCUUCAUGCCUUCUCUUUACGCCAAUGGAACAUACACACAAAGAAAAUAUCCAUAUAUUCCUGUUUUAUUGAAUGAUUUUAAUAUGAAUGGACUCGGAAUUAUGUCAAAUGAUUGUUUUAGAGGAGCAGUAAUCUAAGGAUCAAUGAAUUUGUAAGAAUUAGAAUCAUACAAAGUUUGGGCACUGACCAAAAUGAAGUUAAAUUUGAAAUCAAUGUAUAAACACAUAAUCAGAUAUCUGUAAACUAAAACACACUUCUUUUGAAUAAAACAUGGGUCCAGGAGUUCCCAUUGUGGCUCAGUGGUUAACAAACCCAACUAGUAUCCAUGGGUACGUGUGUUCAACUCCUGGUCUUGCUCAGUGGUUUGGGGAUCCUGCGUUUGCCGUGAGCUGUGAUGUAGGCUGGCAGCUGUAACUCCAGUUUGACCCUUAGCCUGGAAACCUCCAUAUGUCAUGGGUGCGGCCCUAAAAAGACAAAAGACCAAAAAAAAAGUCCAUUGACUCUUUUUUAUUAUAUGACUUCACAGAAGUUUUGUAAUUCCUCAUGAUUCUACAGAUUUCUUGAUAUGUUUAUUUUAUGCUGUAUUUCCCCCUAAUUGCAGCUCUGUGCUUCUUCUUGGCCUUCUUAGGGAUUUGUCUGCUAGAGACAAGUGAUGCUGCCUCACAUCUACUCCUCAUUGGCUGGAGAGAAAACCAUUAUAUCCUUAAAAAUAGCUCUGCAAAAUCUCUUUGCCGUCGUUGUCUUUAUUUGAGUGUUAGAGUUGAGCGUCAGCAUUAAAAGUCAGAGUUUUGGGGAAGGGAAGUAGCUGUAGGAAGCCACUUAGUACGUAAGCGUACCUUCCAUCUUCCAGGGCACCCUGCUCUUGCCUCGACACAAUUGCUCUAAUAUCAAAGGGAGGUGAUAGGAUCAGCAGUGGGAGGAGGGGACAGAGUCACAAUUAGAUCAUGAAUCUUAAACCAGUGGUGGCUCAGCACUAACAGGUAUUCAAGAAGUAAUUAACUAUAAAUGUUAGCAGCUUAAUGUGUUUGCCUCUUGGGAAAUCCAGGGGAUAGGUCUUGUGUGAAGGGGUCAAAUAAACAUCAGAGUCAAAUAAACAUCAUUUGUAACCCAGCUGUGGCCCUGGUCCUGGCUCUAUUCAAUGAAAAUGAUUGAUGACUCCAGAUCCGUUGGUGAGUAGCUGAUCCUCACAGCUUCUGGGUCAACCAAAAGGUUCCAGGGUGUAUUAGCGGAUAAGAAGGAAAUAAGGCUGAGGGUUUGGGAAAUGUACCCAAAUGCCUCCCAAUUGUCUGGGAGCAAAGCCAUUUUUUAAGGUGUCAAAGAGAGAGGUACAACUCUAGUAUAAAAUGAUUGCGGGUCCAAUCCUUAUUUCUUUCCUUUAUCCCAUCCAAUAUUAAAAAGGAUACUUGGCACAGGGAACUAUAUCUGAUCACCUGUGAUAGAACAUGAUAGAAGAGAUGAUAUGAGAAAAAGAAUGUACACAUAUGUAUGACUGGGUCACUUUGCUGUGCAGCAGAAAUCGACAGAACAUUGUAAAUCAACUAGAAUAAAAAAUUAAAAACUAU